UACGUAGGGUGCAAGCGUUGUCCGGAAUUAUUGGGCGUAAAGAGCUCGUAGGCGGCCUGUCACGUCGGCUGUGAAAACCCGGGGCUCAACCCCGGGCCUGCAGUCGAUACGGGCAGGCUAGAGUCCGGCAGGGGAGACUGGAAUUCCUGGUGUAGCGGUGAAAUGCGCAGAUAUCAGGAGGAACACCGGUGGCGAAGGCGGGUCUCUGGGCCGGAACUGACGCUGAGACGCGAAAGCGUGGGGAGCGAACAGG
rnacentral:rRNA from 1 species